rnacentral:tRNA from 1 species
AGCGCCCGUAACUCAAUUGGAUAGAGUUUUUGACUACGAAUCAAACUGUUGGAGGUUCAAAUCCUCUCGGGCGUUUC